GACGAACGCUGGCGGCAGGCCUAACACAUGCAAGUCGAGCGGAGCGGCGGACGGGUGAGUAAUGCCUAGGAAUCUGCCUGGUAGUUGGGGAUAACGUCCGGAAACGGGCGCUAAUACCGCAUACUAUCAAAUGAGCCUAGGUCGGAUUAGCUAUUUGGUGGGGUAAAGGCCUACCAAGGCGACGAUCCGUAACUGGUCUGAGAGGAUGAUUAGUCACACUGGAACGGAGACACGGUCCAGAAUCUUACGGGAGGCAGCAGUGGGGAAUAUUGGACAAUGGGCGAAGGCCUGAUCCAGCCAUGCGGCGUGUGUGUAGAAGGUUUUCGGAUUUUAAAGCACUUUAAGUUGGGAGGCGUUACCAACAGAGUAAGCACCGGCUAACUUCGUGCCAGCAGCCGCGGUAAUUC
rnacentral:rRNA from 1 species